GAUGAACGCUAGCUACAGGCUUAACACAUGCAAGUCGAGGGGAAACGCCAUCGAAAGCUUGCUUUUGAUGGGCGUCGACCGGCGCACGGGUGAGUAACGCGUAUCCAACCUGCCCAUCACUUGGGAAUAACCUUGCGAAAGUAAGACUAAUACCCAAUGAUAUCCCACGAAGGCAUCGGAAUGGGAUUAAAGAUUUAUCGGUGAUGGAUGGGGAUGCGUCUGAUAGCUUGUUGGCGGGGUAACGGCCCACCAAGGCAACGAUCAGUAGGGGUUCUGAGAGGAAGGUCCCCCACAUUGGAACUGAGACACGGUCCAAACUCCUACGGGAGGCAGCAGUGAGGAAUAGUGGUCAAUGGGCGAGAGCCUGAACCAGCCAAGUAGCGUGCAGGAAGACGGCCCUAUGGGUUGUAAACUGCUUUUAUAAGGGAAUAAAGUGGGUCACGUGUGACUUUUUGCAUGUACCUUAUGAAUAAGGACCGGCUAAUUCCGUG
rnacentral:rRNA from 1 species